CACGUAGGGGGCGAGCGUUGUCCGGAUUUAUUGGGCGUAAAGAGCUCGUAGGCGGCUCAGUAAGUCAGGUGUGAAAACUCCAGGCUCAACCUGGAGACGCCACUUGAUACUGCUGUGGCUAGAGUCCGGUAGGGGAGCAUGGAAUUCCUGGUGUAGCGGUGAAAUGCGCAGAUAUCAGGAGGAACACCGACGGCGAAGGCAGCACUCUGGGCCGGUACUGACGCUGAGGAGCGAAAGCGUGGGGAGCAAACAGG
rnacentral:rRNA from 1 species